ensembl:snoRNA
UGCAAUGAUGAGUCUUUAGACUAGAGUCUCUGACAUUAACUGAUGUCCUCACAGCUACCUGAGCA